GCCUCGGUAGCUCAGCGGUUAGAGCUGACCGCUCAUAACGGUUAGGUCGCAGGUUCAAAUCCUGCCCGAGGCA
rnacentral:tRNA from 1 species